rnacentral:misc_RNA from 1 species
GAUGAAGAACGUAGCGAAAUGCGAUACGUAAUGUGAAUUGCAGAAUUCAGUGAAUCAUCGAAUCUUUGAACGCAUAUUGCGCUCUCUGGUAUUCCGGAGAGCAUGCUUGUUUGAGUAUCAGUAAACACCUCAACUUCCAUAUCUUUUUUGAAAUGGGAGUUGGACUUGAGUGAUCCCAACGCUUUUCCUCACCGAAAAGUGGCGGGUUACUUGAAAUGCAGGUGCAGCUGGACUUUUCGAUGAGCUAUAAGCAUAUCUAUUUAGUCUGCCUAAAAAACAGAUUAUUACCUUUGCUGCAGCUAACAUAAAGGAGAUUAGUUCUUGUGCUGACUGAUGCAGGAUUCACAAAGACGGCUUCGGCCGACUUUGUAAACUCGAUCUCAAAUCAAGUAAGACUACCCGCUGAACUUAAGCAUAUCAAUAAGCGGAGGA